rnacentral:rRNA from 1 species
CACGUAGGGUGCGAGCGUGUCCGGAAUUAUUGGGCGUAAAGAGCUCGUAGGCGGCUUGUCACGUCGAUUGUGAAAGCCCGAGGCUUAACCUCGGGUCUGCAGUCGAUACGGGCUAGCUAGAGUGUGGUAGGGGAGAUCGGAAUUCCUGGUGUAGCGGUGAAAUGCGCAGAUAUCAGGAGGAACACCGGUGGCGAAGGCGGAUCUCUGGGCCAUUACUGACGCUGAGGAGCGAAAGCGUGGGGAGCGAACAGG